AAUGAACGCUGGCGGUAUGCCUAACACAUGCAAGUCGAACGGCACCACCGUAAGAGCUUGCUCUUACGGGUGGCGAGCGGCGGACGGUUGCGUAAGACAUCGGAAUCUACUUUUUCGUGGGGGAUAACGUAGGGAAACUUACGCUAAUACCGCAUACGACCUACUGGUGUAAGCACGGGUUCUUCGGACCUUGCGCGAUUGAAUGAGCCAAUGUCGGAUUAGCUAGUUGGCGGGGUAAAGGCAAACCAAGGCGACGAUCCGUAGCUGGUCUGAGAGGAUGAUUCGACACCCGGGAACUGAGGCACGGCCCAGACUCUUACACGAGGAAGCAGUGGGGAAUAUUGGACAAGGGGGGAAUGCCUGAUCCAGCCCUACCGCGGGGGUGAAGAACGACUUCGGGUUGGAAAGCCCUUUUGUUGGGAAAGAAAAGCAGCACGUUAAUCCCCCGCUGUUCUGACGGUACCCAAAGAAUAAGCACCGGCUAACUUCGUG
rnacentral:rRNA from 1 species